UACGGGGGGGGCAAGCGUUGUUCGGAAUUACUGGGCGUAAAGCGCGCGUAGGCGGUCUGGCAAGUUGGAAGUGAAAUCCCGAGGCUUAACUUCGGAAUUGCUUUCAAAACUAUCAGGCUGGAGUAUGGUAGGGGAUAGUGGAAUUCCUAGUGUAGAGGUGAAAUUCGUAGAUAUUAGGAGGAACACCGGUGGCGAAAGCGACUGUCUGGGCCAUUACUGACGCUGAGGCGCGAAAGCGUGGGGAGCAAACAGG
rnacentral:rRNA from 1 species